rnacentral:rRNA from 1 species
AUGGGAGUGCCUUCGUUCUACCGGUGGCUCGUGGAGAAGUACCCCAACAUCGUCACCCCCGCCGUCGAGGAAGAAGACUGUCCUGCUGGUGGCGCCGCCGCCGUUUACUUCGACAACCUCUACCUGGACAUGAACGGCAUCAUCCACGCCUGCUUCCACCCGGAGGACCAGACGGCGUGCCCUCCUCCGGCGACGUUCGACGAGGUGUUCCGGUCCAUGUUCGAUUACAUGGACCUCCUGCUCCGCAUGUCCGGCCCCGGAGGCUCCUCUACCUGGCAGUAG